rnacentral:rRNA from 1 species
GAUGAACACUGGCGGCGUGCCUAAUACAUGCAAGUCGAGCGAAUGGAUUAAGAGCUUGCUCUUAUGAAGUUAGCGGCGGACGGGUGAGUAACACGUGGGUAACCUGCCCAUAAGACUGGGAUAACUCCGGGAAACCGGGGCUAAUACCGGAUAACACUUUGAACCGCAUGGUUCGAAAUUGAAAGGCGGCUUCGGCUGUCACUUAUGGAUGGACCCGCGUCGCAUUAGCUAGUUGGUGAGGUAACGGCUCACCAAGGCAACGAUGCGUAGCCGACCUGAGAGGGUGAUCGGCCACACUGGGACUGAGACACGGCCCAGACUCCUGCGGGAGGCAGCAGUAGGGAAUCUUCCGCAAUGGACGAAAGUCUGACGGAGCAACGCCGCGUGAGUGAUGAAGGCUUUCGGGUCGUAAAACUCUGUUGUUAGGGAAGAACAAGUGCUAGUUGAAUAAGCUGGCACCUUGACGGUACCUAACCAGAAAGCCACGGCUAACUACGUGCCAGCCGCCGCAGUAA